AUGAUAAAUUUAGGAGAGACUGCCAGAAAUAUGGCGGCACCGAAGGGGAAGCUGCAGUAAACUCUCAGGUAAAAGGACUGAAUUUUGACG
rnacentral:ncRNA from 2 species